UUGAACUCAAAACCUCAUGGGAAACAAGAGAUACCUUAACUACUAGACCACAAAUAGCUGAUGGGAUUAGUAUCAUAUUCAUUAAUAUAACAAAGAAAACCAGAAAGAAAAUUAAAAAAAAAAAAGAAGAUGGGCCAAGCGAACCGGAUCGGAUCCGACCCAGUUCAUCACCACUUAAAUCCUAGAAAAAAAAACCCUAAUCCUAAACGGCCGCUCACGUUUCUUUCCCAGUGACAACACUAUUCCACACAACAUCAUGAAACGAAAAAAAUAUCUCAUCUCCGACCACCUCACGUUAAUCCGGCGACGCCUCUCACGAAUCCGGCGACGCCUUUCACGAAUCCGGCGACGCCACUCAUGAAUCCGACCAAACCUCUCGCGAAUCCGGCUAGGGCGCUCACGAAUUCGGCCAAAUGCGUGGCUGUUACUCAUGAAUUCAGCGACAUACAACCGUGACUCACAAAUCCAGCGAUACACAACUUGAUUCAACGGUGUUACGGUUUCGAAACAGACAACCUCACCGUUGAAGGGGAUCAAAAGCGGAAACGAAGGAACAUACCUUGAUUCGACGGUAAUCGAUAAAAGGACAAGUGGGUGGAAAGGGACCCUUCAAAUGACAAGACAAAACUCUGUUUUUUUUAACAGAUUUUAUUAAAAUUUUUGUAAUAACUUAUAUGGAACUUAAGGCAAAUUAAAUUUAAAUUUAAAUGUAAUA